CAGAGACGAUCUGCCAGCUCCUUCCUCCUGGGGCUCUAGCCUCUGUUUCUUUCUCUCUUCGUGGUUAUCUUGGGGGCCUGGCAGAUCUAGGUUCAAAUCCUGGCUCUGUCACUUAGAGGUUAUGUGCCCCUGGACGAGCUCUCUGAUUCCUCAGUUUUCUCAUCUGGAAGAUGGGAAUGAUAACCCCUUCCUCCAGGGCUGUACGAAGUGAAGAAGGUGAUAGCAGUAAAUUCAUGGUUCACUAAAUUUAUUUAUUUAUGAGACGGAGUCUCCCUCCAUCGCCCAGGCUGCAGUGCAGUGGCGCGAUGUCGGCUCACUACAACCUCCGCCUCCUGGGUUCAAGCAAUUCUCCUGUCUCAGCCUCCCGAGUAGCUGGGACUACAGGCUCCUGCCAUCAUGCCCGGCUAACUUUUUGUAUUUUCAGUAGGGACGGGGUUUCACCUUGUUGGUCAGACUUGUCUCGACCUCCUGACCUCAGGUGAUCCACCCACCUCGGCCUCCCAAAGUGCUAGGAUUACAGGCGUGAGCCACUGUGCCCAGCUGGUUCACUAUAUUAAUUGCAUCAGUCAUUGUCAUCCUGCUACAGCUUGGGCCUGCUCCUGUGGAGUCCAGUACCCCGGACUGCUCCCAGCUUUCUUCGUUUUGCCGUCAUAUUCAUGGUUCCUGUGUGUGAACUCCCCUUCCUCCUCCCCUCUCCUCAACGACUGAGCAGGCCCAGCCUGAGCACCCGAUUCACAGCUCCCAGACUCUUGCUCUUCUGCUCUUUAUUUCUAUUCAUAGGGUGGUCAUGAAGGGAAGGUUGCCCCCACUCCGCCCCCAACCAGCCCCAUUUUCCAUUGUUUGCUUUCCUUUUCUUGAGUCCAUUGAAGUCCCAGGGUUUCAUCUGGAGAGAAGAGUUUGAGUUCAUGGCUUUCUCGUAGCAGGCAUGAGAUCUUGUCCAUGUGACUCUGGAUCCCCUAGAACCUCCCCACUCAGCUCCUCUACCUCCCUGGCCAGUGUAUGCAUCCCCUUGCCUCUGCCCAGGCUCAGUGUGCCAGGCUGUGCUUGUUCUGGCUUGAGGAGUUGGGGUUGCUUCCACUCUCCCUCUCUGAACUCCUUGGGCUUUGCCAGCUCAGCCCCCCAGCCACCAGCUGGACACCACUUGAGACUCACUGUCUUUGGAGGACAGAGAAAUACCUGGAGUGGGGUGGUGUGGCAGAGGAGUGAAGGAGGAGGCAUGGAGCCAGUGUGUGGUGCCAAGCUGGAGGGGGUCCCAACCGCCUCUGAGUCUCCCUGGUUCCUCGCCUGUCCAAUGUGGACCUUGGACUUGAGGCUGUUCAGGGCCUCUCCUUCCACCUGUUGCUGAUGUACUGGCCUGAAAGAAUUGGAGGGCUGGGAGAUGGGAGCUUGCCAAGAGACAGCCCCAGGGAGAUGGUGGCCUGGUGCCCUCAACAGGCUGCAAUGUUGUCAUUGUUGCCAUCAGGGAGCUCUCCGUGGCCUUGUGAUCCCUAAAGGGGCCUCCCAUGUGGUCCAGUAGGUGGACUUCAGUGCUUACGGGGUUCUCAAUCACCUAGGUCAAGCUUGUGGAGCCUAGAAUCAGGGAUCAGGGCUCGGGUACCCAUCAGGCUGUGCAUUCCCAGCCCUCCUGCCCCCUAGGCUGGCCUGCCCAGGUUCUCACCAUCCUGAUGCUCAUCUUCCACGUCCUCUACAAGCUCUGGGUGGGAGCAGGACCUCAGGUAUAGUCCUUUGCCAUCAUAUUCCUUGUGCUGCAGAGCAAUCUCCUGCCCCAAUAUGAUAGUGGCCACAGCUGGGGGGACUGAUUUCUGUAGGUGGAGGAAUCUGAGGAAUCAAUCAAAUGAAUCCAAGUCUUCUAGCCAUCUGGUG
rnacentral:lncRNA from 1 species